GGCCAGACUCCUACGGGAGGCAGCAGUGGGGAAUAUUGCACAAUGGGGGAAACCCUGAUGCAGCGACGCCGCGUGAGCGAUGAAGUAUUUCGGUAUGUAAAGCUCUAUCAGCGGGGAAGAAAAUGACGGUACCUGACUAAGAAGCCCCGGCUAACUACGUGCCAGCAGCCGCGGUAAUACGUAGGGGGCAAGCGUUAUCCGGAUUUACUGGGUGUAAAGGGAGCGUAGACGGCCAUGCAAGCCAGGGGUGAAAGCCCGGGGCCCAAGCCCGGGACUGCCCUUGGAACUGCAUGGCUGGAGUGCGGGAGGGGCAGGCGGAAUUCCUGGUGUAGCGGUGAAAUGCGUAGAUAUCAGGAGGAACACCGGCGGCGAAGGCGGCCUGCUGGACUGCGACUGACGUUGAGGCUCGAAAGCGUGGGGAGCGAACGGGAUUAGAUACCCUUGUA
rnacentral:rRNA from 1 species